rnacentral:rRNA from 1 species
AUACGUAGGUGGCAAGCGUUGUCCGGAAUUAUUGGGCGUAAAGCGCGCGCAGGCGGUUAUUUAAGUCUGAUGUGAAAGCCCACGGCUAAACCGUGGGGGGUGAUUGGAAAAUGGGGGACGUGAGGGCAGAAGAGGAAAGUGGAAACUCCAGUGUAACGGUGAAGUGCGUAGAGAUUUGGAGGAACACCAGGGGCGAAGGCGACUUUCGGGUCUGUAACUGACGCUGAGGCGCGAAAGCGUGGGGAGCAAACAGGAUUAGAUACCCUGGUAGUCCACGCCGUAAACGAUGAGUGCUAAGUGUUAGGGGGUUUCCGCCCCUUAGUGCUGCAGCUAACGCAUUAAGCACUCCGCCUGGGGAGUACGGUCGCAAGACUGAAACUCAAAUGAAUUGGCGGGG